UACGUAGGGCGCAAGCGUUGUCCGGAAUCAUUGGGCGUAAAGCGCGCGUAGGCGGCCCCGUAAGUCCGCUGUGAAAGUCAAAGGCUCAACCUUUGAAAGCCGGUGGAUACUGUGGGGCUAGAGUACGGAAGAGGCGAGUGGAAUUCCUGGUGUAGCGGUGGAAUGCGCAGAUAUCAGGAGGAACACCAAUAGCGAAGGCAGCUCGCUGGGACGUUACUGACGCUGAGGCGCGAAAGCGUGGGGAGCGAACAGG
rnacentral:rRNA from 1 species